UGCCUGAUAGUAAAAAUGACUUCCGGUC
rnacentral:piRNA from 1 species